rnacentral:rRNA from 1 species
CACGAGACCGAUAGCGAACAAGUACCGUGAGGGAAAGAUGAAAAGGACUUUGAAAAGACAGUUAAAAAGUACGUGAAACCGUUGAAAGGGAAGCGAAUGGAGUUAGCAAUUCGCCCCGCCAGAUUCAGUCGCUCGCGCUGUGCGACGGCCGCGCUCUCGAUCUGCAUGGACGAGGCGCGUUCGG